rnacentral:misc_RNA from 1 species
AACGGUCUAUACCUGCGGUACCUGCGGAAGGAUCAUUACCGAGUUACCAACUCCCAAACCCCUGUGAACAUACCCGAACGUUGCCUCGGCGGGACCGCCCCGGCGCCCCUAGCGGCCCGGAACCAGGCGCCCGCCGGAGGACCCAAACUCUUGCUUUAAACAGUGGCAUACUCUCUGAGUCUCACAAACAAAAAAUAAAUCAAAACUUUUAACAAUGGAUCUCUAGAUCGGAAGAGCACA